AUUGAACGCUGGCGGCAUGCUUUACACAUGCAAGUCGAACGGCAGCGCGGGCUUCGGCCUGGCGGCGAGUGGCGAACGGGUGAGUAAUACAUCGGAACGUGCCCAGUAGUGGGGGAUAGCUCGGCGAAAGCCGGAUUAAUACCGCAUACGACCUGAGGGUGAAAGCGGGGGAUCUUCGGACCUCGCGCUAUUGGAGCGGCCGAUGGCAGAUUAGCUAGUUGGUGGGGUAAAGGCCUACCAAGGCGACGAUCUGUAGCUGGUCUGAGAGGACGACCAGCCACACUGGGACGGAGACACGGACCAGACUCCUACGGGAGGCAGCAGUGGGGAAUUUUGGACAAUGGGCGAAAGCCUGAUCCAGCAAUGCCGCGUGUGUGAUGAAGGCCUUCGGGUUGUAAAGCACUUUUGGCGGGAACGAAAAGGACUGUGCCAAUACCACGGUUCGAUGACGGUACCCGCAGAAUAAGCACCGGCUAACUACGUG
rnacentral:rRNA from 1 species